AAAGCGUUAAUCUACAGACAGCAUUGCAUCCCUUGCAGUACAACUUUCAAAAGACCUCUUCAUCAAGUAGGUUAAGAC
rnacentral:lncRNA from 1 species